ACCGAACCGACCACAGGAAAAAACCGAACGCAAAUUGAUUUUUACACAAUCCCUAAUCUAACACAUUCUUGUCUUCUUGAUUCUUCUCAUCUUCUGAUCUUCACAAACCUUCACCGCUGGAAUCUCGUCCCCGCUGCUGCUGCUGCUGCUGCUCAUCCUUCACGAACCUUCACCGCUGGAAUCUCAUCCCCGCUGCUGCUGCUGCUCAUCCUUCACGAAUUUGAUUUGCCACCGCUGUUCAUUGCCGACUCUCGUCCCCGCUGCCACUGUCACCUACCGUUGUCACCUACUAUCAACUGUUGCUGCUUUCACGGUGCUCCCCUGCUGCCAUCUGACUGCUGUUGUGACUCACAACUUGUGAGCUGCUGCUGGUAACUUGAGCUGCUUGAGCUUGAGUUGUUUUUGCAGAGAACUUGAGCCGCUGCUGCCUGCUGGCGUGAAAAGGUAAUCAGCUCCCUUUGUUUUUGCAGAGAAUUCGUACUGGGUUAAGGUUUGACUUGGUAAAUGGUAUAAUAUAAUCUGUGCUUAACUACUUUAUUUUGUUAACCCGUCAUUAAGAAUUAACGGGCAAAACAAGGAUUUUGCGGUUUUUGGAUUUAGAAUAAAAUGGACAGAAGUUGCUUAAUAUUUCUUCUUUAAUCUUUUAUUGAUUAGUUAUUGCAAAGAAUAAAUUUUUUUAAAUUAUUCCUUAGCUUAACUUAAUCAUUGUCACCAUAUAUACUUU
rnacentral:lncRNA from 1 species